GCCAGGGUGGCGUAGUGGUCAGCGCAUCUGCUCGGUGAGCAGGAGAUCCGGGUUUGAAUCCCGACCUUGGUA